AAUGAAAGCUCCAUGACAGCAGGAACUUUGUCUACCUCGUUCACUGGGCCUCAGUGCUAGCGCAUAAUAACCCCUCAGUGUCAGUGUGUUGAAUGAAUGAAUUUACUGUUACUCUAAUGUGAUAAGUUCAAGGUAUCCGAGAAUGCAGGUGGGCUCUUCAGACUGGCUGACCAAUAGUACUGUCUUGAUGGGGUUUCCACUGUCUGCUAAGUUAAACAUGGAAAGCGCUUAGAAUGGUUCUGGCAUGCAACCAGUUGCACGUGCAUUAUUUAAUCACAUAGACAAGUCAGGAUUGAAGGAUAGUUCUGUCGAAGAACUCAAGAAAAGAUACGGUGGUUGAUUUCCAUUUUUGCUGAAAUAAUUGUUUUUGACUUUCAUAUGUAAAUUUUUUCUACUGAAAGUGUUUUGCUUUUUAAGAAAAUGAAAUUAUAUAGCAGGAAAGGACUAUCUUUGAACAUAAGUUAAUUAACUAUAAGGUGAAUUGUGAUUUAACUAGUGAGAAUUGUAUUCAAGUGAACUCUGUUUUUCUGAAAAUAAAAAUAUAAACAAUGAGAU
rnacentral:lncRNA from 1 species